CUCCCUUUUGAGAAACGCUAACUUUGCGAGGUUGUGUGUGUGUCUCUCUUUUCUGAGAAACCUAAUUGUUGCCUUCUCUCUUUGUCGCGCUCUAUCUUUUCUGAGAAAACUAACUAUUGCGGCAUUAUAUAUCCAUAUCCUAUAUGCCCAAACUUCUGCAGAUUGUUCUUGGCAUAAAGCUUGGAAUGAAUGCACAAGAGGUAAUCUCCAAGGUGAAAGCUCUUUCUGAUGUCGAGGGAUUGUGUGUAUCUUUUGCUGGUACUCGUGGUUCUUCAGAUGCUGUCCUUGCAAUCAAGGUUUUCCUGGUGAUGUGAAGGUAAGGGUAACAUAUAUGAUACUUGGGGAAAGCAAGUUAAAUGUGAUCAUGAAAGCCUUAGCUGUUGGCAAGGCCACCCCUAUCAAUUUGGCUCAGCACGCCUACUGGAAUCUUGAUGUGCAUAACAGUGGUGAUAUCUUAUCCAACAUAAUACAAAUCUUUGGUUCUCACAUUACUCCCGUUGACAAGGAACUCAUCCCAACCGGCAAAAAGUGUAGUUCAUUAAAAGUGACAAUUCAGAACCAUAUUCAAGAUUGUGCAUCUUCUCCACUGAGUGCUCAGGCAGGUUCAGGUGAACCCAUCCAAGUGCCACCCAAAGGGACUAUCCUAUGAUCUAUCUAAUUUUGGAAGAGAGUCCAUGGUUCUCAUUUAUCUUACCGGGUGAACCAAAGAAGAAAAUCCUAGGAGAGAAUUUACCCUUCUGGCUUCCCCGGUUCUUGACUGUCUUGCAACCAAGUCAUUAAAUCAUGGGGUUGUUGAAGCAUAGGAGUUAAUCUCUCAGCUUGACUGAGAAAGGCAAACUGCAUUUUUUUUUUUUUUUGAGAGCCAUGAAACAAUUUGUAUUCAUACUGUAUUUUUCAGAAAAUGGUAAAGGCACACAAUGUGAUGUAUUUGGCAAAGCCCAACAGUGCCCAACAAUGCUCUAGUAUAUUACCUGUAAAGGAAUGUUAAUUCGAUCAUUUGGAGCUUAACUAUAAAAGGAGUAUGUAAGAAUACA